UAAAACCAGCACCUCAAGUGGUCAGGAUGAUUAUUGGGCCUAAAGCAUCCGUAGCCGGCUAUGUUAGUUUUCGGUUAAAUCCAUGUGCUCAACACAUGGGCUGUCGGAAAUACUGCAUAGCUAGGGAGUGGGAGAGGUAGACGGUACUCGGGAGGAAGUGGUAAAAUGCUUUGAUCUCUCGAUGACCACCAGUGGCGAAGGCGGUCUACCAGAACACGUCCGACGGUGAGGGAUGAAAGCUGGGGGAGCAAACCGGAUUAGAUACCCGGGUAGUCCCAGCUGUAAACUAUGCAAACUCAGUGAUGCAUUGGCUUGUGGCCAGUGCAGUGCCGCAGAGAAGUCGUUAAGUUUGCCGCCUGGGAAGUACGUACGCAAGUAUG
rnacentral:rRNA from 2 species